UACGUAGGGGGCGAGCGUUGUCCGGAAUUAUUGGGCGUAAAGAGCGUGUAGGCGGUUCGGUAAGUCUGCCGUGAAAACCUGGGGGCUCAACCCCGGGCGUGCGGUGGAUACUGCCGGGCUAGAGGGUGGUAGAGGCGAGUGGAAUUCCCGGUGUAGCGGUGGAAUGCGCAGAUAUCAGGAGGAACACCGAUGGCGAAGGCAGCUCGCUGGGACGGUACUGACGCUAAGGCGCGAAAGCGUGGGGAGCAAACAGG
rnacentral:rRNA from 1 species